CUGGUUGUCAGAUAAGAUCUUACUGUCUCCAUUUAAUGGCUAGGAAAGUUCAGGCAUAUAUUAGGCAGGUCAGGGUUUUCCAAGGUAUGUUUUCCAGAGCACAAGUCCCCUUGAUGAUCCAUGAAAAGGGGUUCUGCUGUCAAUCAUGAUUAGGAAACCUCUGAUUGAUUCAUAAUACAUCUUAAUAUAGUAAAGGUCCUGAAAGGAACCUUAGUUAAGAAACCUACAUGAUCUGAAAUCUGCUUAACAUUGAUCAACCUCCCAUUAAACUUCCUGCUUCUACACACAUCUCUGCUCCCUCCUGUUUUCAUAGAGGAUCAGUCCCUUCAUCUAUGCCCAGCAUCAUAUUCCCACCCCAUUCUCAGGAGUCUUUCAUCUUUAUCUCUUUCUGCAUCAACACUUUCUCCCUCCUGGACCUUUCCAAUCAGCAUUUACAUAAACUCAAGUCUCUCUCUAAAUCCUUGCUUUCAGUGUGGUCAAUGGACUAGCAGUAUCGACUUCACCUAGGAGCCUGAUAGAGAUGCAGAAUCUCAGGCUCCAGCCCCACCUGCUGUUACCUGCAGUUCAACAAGAUCCCAGCUCUUCUCUCUACUCCUGGAAUUGAAAGGGGCUGACCCUACAACAACAGUUCCCAGGCUCCUUUGCCAACUGGGUGCUGCCAGUGGAAAACCCCGGGAUGACUGAGGGUGGGAGGAGCCGGAGUGUCUACGUUGAGGUGGCUCCACCUCUGAGGUUCUGGUCCUGUCCUGGACUCUGUUAACACCGCGUCCUGCCCUAGGGCCUCCAGCCCUAGGGAUGGGAGCAGCUCCCUGCUCUUACUAAGCUCUAGGUUGCCUCACUGUCCUUUGUUUGGCUUUUUGGUUUUCCCAAUAGCUAUGUAACUAGGUCCCCAUACCUGGUAUGUUUUCCUGCAUGGAUCUGGGCUGUUACAUGGAGCUAUCAGAAAAUGGGAGUUGGAGGAGAGAGAACAUUUGAGAACUAGGCCAACACUACUUGACUUGGUAGACUACCUUGAAGUCAAGGCACCUCACGGAAAGUAAUGGAGACCAGGAGGCAUCUAAUAGCACUUUCCUUUGAAAGCUGAUGUCCUCCACUCUGGUGGGAAAGUUGUGUAAAUAGAGAAAAGGGCAGGUUACUGAGGACAAUCCAGCUCCCUGCAUGGCAGCGUUUGAUUCUCUCUGGUUGUCAGCAAGUCACAAACAAGUCAGUGUUAUUGUGCAGCUGCCUAAGAUGGAGGUCAGAGGAUUUGUCCCACAACAGAAAUAAGUUCUCUGGCAACAACUUGUUUUGGCUGCAUCCCUCACCUGUCUGGGGUGGGGCAGUUACUGAAUUGUCACAGUUGGUGGUUGGGGCCUAUUGUCAAAUGUCAAUAUUUUCACAGUCAUCCCACACUGCUGAGCUAUAGCUCGCCUUGGCAUCUGACCCUUGGCCCAGGAGGACAGGCAAUUCUUUCAUACACAGUGGGCAAAGACAAGGGAGACUGUCUUUUCCCCUCAAAGACUGUUCACGUAGGGGGCCAGUUCACUCUGAAUAAGGCCCUUUCAAAUAGAGCAAGAACAGAAUUCUGGGACAGUUUACCAAGUGUGAUUUUUGCAGGCUGGUUCUGUAAUGAGAUGUAAGCCUUAACAUCCAAAAUAAAGAAAAUUACUUUUUCAGAAUA